rnacentral:rRNA from 1 species
UACGAAGGGGGCUAGCGUUGUUCGGAAUCACUGGGCGUAAAGCGUAUGUAGGCGGCUUGUUAAGUCAGGGGUGAAAUCCCGAGGCUCAACCUCGGAACUGCCUUUGAUACUGGCUUUCUUGAGUUCGGGAGAGGUGAGUGGAACUCCUAGUGUAGAGGUGAAAUUCGUAGAUAUUAGGAAGAACACCAGUGGCGAAGGCGGCUCACUGGCCCGAAACUGACGCUGAUGUACGAAAGCGUGGGGAGCAAACAGG